AUGAAGGACUGGAUGAAGCAGAUCCGCGACGUCACCUACGACAUUGAGGACUGUAUCAACGACUCCGGCAAGCGCAUCCGGGGCCUGCGCACCAGCCUGCGCUGCUACUGCCUCGUCAGCAGCGUCUACGAGAUCCUCACUUGGCGGCCUCGCCGCGACAUUGCCUCGAAGCUGUCCGUGCUCAAGAUGCGGGCGCAGCAGAUCAGCGAGCGGCGCGACAGGUAUGGGGUCGUCAACCCAGCUGAGUCCAGCACCAGCGCCGCUAGAUUUGACGUCGCCGACGACCAGGCCCCCAGCCUGCUUCAGCUGGUCAGCACGAGAGAACCCGUGGGAGUGGAAGAGCACACGCGGGACCUCGACAAGAGGGUGACCUGUAUUGUUGGGUUUGGAGGCGUGGGGAAGACGGCCAUCGCCACCUCCUUGUACAGGAACUCCGGGGACAAGUUCAGCCACCGUGCGACGGUCACCGUAUCUCAGAGCACCGACCUGGAGGCCAUCCUCCUGAUCAUCAGGGAUCAACUCAAGCCCCACACCAGCGUCCACAAGCAGCUGGGCAGCUCGGAGAAGAAGAACAGCCUUGUUGCAGCUGCCGUCAAAGGCGUACGGGGUCACGUCAGCCGAGGCUCGUCGACCGUCAUGGCGGCCAUAUGCUGCAGAUCUGACGAAUCCGAGGAAGCACGUGAAAUCGAUCACUCAACAAAGACAUCGCGGACUUCUUGA
rnacentral:rRNA from 1 species